GGGGAUGUAAGGUUUCGACAUCUAUUUUGAUUCUAUUGAUAGCGAGUAGUGGAUUCUCGUUGGCCACUAUAAAAACGAGAAAUAAAAUUAAACGCAGAUAAUAAUAGAUUUGCAUUAGCUGCCUAAGGUAGCGAGUCUUUUAUUAUUUUGCUAGAGGGUAAUAAAAGGCUUCGAAUGAUCUAGCAACGAAAUUAACGAUAAUGGUAAAGUUAAUGGGGAUUUUUCCAUUCGGUUGAUAGUAUUUUUGUAAAUUUUUAAGCUAACAAUUUGUAAAAUAAAAUUUACUGCACUCGGAGAAGUUGAUAGAAUAGAAUUUAUGGACGUGGGUUCAAUUCCCACCAUCUCCACCA
rnacentral:tmRNA from 1 species